UCCGGUUUAUCACCGGCAGUCCCCCAUGAGUCCCCGGCAUCACCCGCUGGCAACUAAAGGAGAGGGUUGCGCUCGUUGCGGGACUUAACCCAACAUCUCACGACACGAGCUGACGACAGCCAUGCAGCACCUGUCUCCGCGCCCCUUGCGGGGACCACCCAUCUCUGGGUUUAGCGCGGGAUGUCAAACCCUGGUAAGGUUCUGCGCGUUGCGUCGAAUUAAACCACAUGCUCCACCGCUUGUGCGGGUCCCCGUCAAUUCCUUUGAGUUUUAAUCUUGCGACCGUACUCCCCAGGCGGAGAGCUUAAUGCGUUAGCUGCGCCACUGAGGAGUAAACUCCCCAACGGCUAGCUCUCAUAGUUUACGGCGUGGACUAC
rnacentral:misc_RNA from 1 species